UACGUAGGGGGCAAGCGUUGUCCGGAUUUAUUGGGCGUAAAGCGCUCGCAGGUGGUUCGUCGCGUCGUGCGUGAAAGACCCCGGCUCAACUGGGGAGGGUCGUGCGAUACGGGCGGACUGGAGGCCAGUAGGGGGAUGCGGAAUUCCGGGUGUAGUGGUGGAAUGCGUAGAGAUCCGGAGGAACACCAGCGGCGAAGGCGGCAUCCUGGACUGGUCCUGACACUCAUGAGCGAAAGCGUGGGGAGCGAUCCGG
rnacentral:rRNA from 1 species